CUACGGGUGGCAGCAGUGAGGAAUAUUGCACAAUGGGGGGAAAGAGGAGGAAGCAACGCCGCGUGGAGGAGUACGCAUUUCGGUGUGUAAACUCCUUUUCUCUGGCCAGAAAAUGAUGGUAGCAUAUGAAUAAGCACCGGCUAACUCCGUGCCAGCAGCCGCGGUAAUACGGAGGGUGCAAGCGUUACUCGGAAUCACUGGGCGUAAAGGACGCGUAGGCGGGUUGGAAAGUCAGGUGUGAAAUCCUACAGCUUAACUGUAGAACUGCACUUGAAACUUCUAAUCUAGAGUAUGGGAGGGGGAGAUGGAAUUAGUGGUGUAGGGGUAAAAUCCGUAGAUAUCACUAGGAAUACCUAAAGCGAAGGCGAUCUCCUGGAACAUUACUGACGCUAAGGCGUGAAAGCGUGGGGAGCAAACAGGAUUAGAUACCCCUGUAGUC
rnacentral:rRNA from 1 species